GGGCCGGUAGCUCAGAUGGUAGAGCACGACACUUUUAAUGUUGUGGUCGUGGGUUCGAGUCCCACCCGGCUCACCA
rnacentral:tRNA from 1 species